AAUUAAAGUAGGCCUCCCCAAAAUAGCAUUAUAAGCAGAAUCUACAUGUACAACAUAAAAUUUGCAAAUAAUUUGUACCUGCUGAGGGGCCGUCCCGAAUAUGACUGGAAGCUCAAUGGUUCCAGCCACUUUAACCGGAUCAUUGCUGAAACCAUAAAGAGGAGCUUCCUGUCCAAUUUCCAUCUUCCGCCCAUCCAAAUUCAUCCUUUGAUAAGCGUGGGCAUACAAGAUGUCUACAGACGAUCCGUUAUCUACCAUCAUCCUUUUCAUAUCUACCGAACCCACUUGUGCAGUAAGCACCAAUGAUCCUUCAUGAGGUUCGAUAAUUUCCGAAGGGUAAUCUUCAUCAGUGAAAGAGAUUACCGUAUUCGGAUAAGGUCUAUCAGUCUUCGGGAAGGUACCCGCCACCGACAUGACCGAAUCCAAAUAGCUUCGGCGCUUCUUUCCAACGAGCUUGCCAGAAGUACCCCCAGUGAUGACAUCUAUCACAUGCCUUGGUGGCUGAUCCGGAGCUGGCAACGCUGGCUGAUUAGGUUGAGCCGCCGGGACAGGUACUCGGUCCUGCUGCUGAUGAGUUCGGGCAGCAACAUAUUGAACUAAAGCUCCACCUUGUACCUUUCUCUCAAUGAACUCUUUUAAACUGGCACAAUCGUUCGUCUCAUGUCCCGACGCUUGAUGGUAGUCGCAAUACUUGCGGGGAUUUCCUUUUCCGGGCUUGAUGUUAUCUCGUGGUGGCUCGAAAAUAGGUUGAUUCUUGAUCUGAUCUAAGAUAACCGCCCUAUCGGCGUUGAGCGCCGUGUAAGUCCUGUUUACUCUCUGGGGGGGAGCGGACGAACGUCCUCCACCCUGCCUCCAAUUGUUAUACCUUUUCGACCCGCCUUCAUGGCGGUCUUUGUGUCCUUCAAUCUUCUUCUGGUCUCCAUUAGUUUUAUCUCGAUCCGUAUCUCUGGGCCGAUCCAAAGAAGGACGCUUGAGGCUGCUCAUGGCUUCCUCCACUACGAUAUAGCCUUCAGCUUUAUCAAAGGCUUCGGCCAGACUCUUCGGGUGGUUAAACAUAAGUUUUUUCACCAACUUUUCUGACUUGACCAGAUCCAGCCCGUUCUGAAACAGUCCCACCGCUUGUAGAUCAUUCAGCUCCGCCACUUGACCGACUGCUUCCCGGAACCGCUUCACAUACUGGCCCAAAGAUUCAUUAGAGGAUUGCCGAACCUGAGCCAAAGAACCAGUUGGCUUUCCCCUUCUUCGGUUGCUCCCAAAACGUGCAUGGAAUUUACUGCACAUAUCUUCCCAGGAUGAGAUAGAAUCUGAAGGUAAGGUCCCCAUCCACUGCCGAGCAUCCUUUCUAAGAGUUGUGACAAAAGUAUGACAUUUAGCAGCAUCACUAAAGUCAUAAUAAUCCAUGAGUCGAUCGAACGCCUGACUAUGGUCGUAAGGGUCCCCCGAUCCAUCGUAACUUUCUAUAUGGGGCAACUUCUUCGUGGGGUCAGCUUUUUCUCUGAGAAUAUCCGCAGAAAAAGGGGAUGCCUUCUUUCCCGGAACGUCUUUGGUUUUCUGGACUUCGGCAAGCUGCUUCCGAAGUUCUUUCAGUUCUUUAACCAGAUACUCCACGCCUUCUGGUUGAGAUGACGCCUCUUUCUCCGGUGACCCCUUCUUCUUAUAAGCAGACCGGAUUCUUUCAACAGAACCUUCAAUUUUAGAGGGGCUUCUCCGAUGACGAGUGUCUACAGGGCGGGGUGCCCUCAGUAGACUCUCGGGAGUAUGUCCUCUGGAUACACUUCGACUCUGAUCCCGGACACUAUGGUGAGAAUGUGCGAUGAUAAGUGCUCUCUUUGCAUGCUCUGAAGUGCGAUCUCUGGAUCGACCUCUUCUCUCCCUUCGUCCUUGUUCUCCAGAAUUGGCAGAAUAACGAGUCCUCCUUGAUCUCUGAGGAAUAGGGCUUAGGGACCUUCUUCUUUCCCUAUUUCGACCCAGAGACUGUCGCCCUGAAUGAGCAGGUUCCUUCCCACUCCGAUGUCCUUGCUCUUCGGAUUGGGCAUAGCUGAGCUCUUCAUCUCUCAAUUCUGCCAUCCGAGCCAUCUGCUCGGCUAUAUCUUGACGCUGCUUUAAUAGUACUUCCAUAGCCUUAUCCGCCUCAUCCGCCAUUUUAGCCAACCGGGAGGCUUUUACGUUCUGGUCAUCUCGGUAUCGAGUUAUAGGCAAGGUGCCUUCUACUCGUUUCCGACCAUGGCCAGACCCCUUCUCCGUCGAGUAUACUAGCUUACGCUUUGCUUUGCCUACUGCCUUCGGUCGAGAAUGUUCAGGUGACCGUUUAGACGCCGUACUAGCAUGCACACUUAUGGUUGGUCCCAAACGAUCCUUGGCAGAUACUCGCGGUAAUGACUCACUGACAGACAUCGGCUGUCCUUCGGGUGUAGGUGUUCUACUCUUUCCCAUAAAAAAUGAAUAGAAUAAAACACACUCUGUGAUUGAAAAAUACUCAAGACACUAAAACAGUCCUCCUUCUAGCGCCAAUGUUAACGCCAAGAUCUUUCUCCACGUCCCAAUCACAAAAGAUGUCCUAAUCCUGCACAGUAAACAAGACAAACACCAUAAGCUUGACGGCCGGACCGCCGGGGGAUAGCUCAGGCGUGAGAGUAAGUAUGUCUGUUCACGAGGUUAACUCAAGAGGAUGAUAAAAUNNNNNNNNNNNNNNNNNNNNNNNNNNNNNNNNNNNNNNNNNNNNNNNNNNNNNNNNNNNNNNNNNNNNNNNNNNNNNNNNNNNNNNNNNNNNNNNNNNNNNNNNNNNNNNNNNNNNNNNNNNNNNNNNNNNNNNNNNNNNNNNNNNNNNNNNNNNNNNNNNNNNNNNNNNNNNNNNNNNNNNNNNNNNNNNNNNNNNNNNNNNNNNNNNNNNNNNNNNNNNNNNNNNNNNNNNNNNNNNNNNNNNNNNNNNNNNNNNNNNNNNNNNNNNNNNNNNNNNNNNNNNNNNNNNNNNNNNNNNNNNNNNNNNNNNNNNNNNNNNNNNNNNNNNNNNNNNNNNNNNNNNNNNNNNNNNNNNNNNNNNNNNNNNNNNNNNNNNNNNNNNNNNNNNNNNNNNNNNNNNNNNNNNNNNNNNNNNNNNNNNNNNNNNNNNNNNNNNNNNNNNNNNCCGCCGUCAAGCUUGUGGUGUUUACCGUGUUUACUGUGCAGGAUCAGGACGUCUUACGUGAUUGGGGCGUGGUAGAAGAUCUUGGCGUUAACACAAACCAUUAUAAUUUCCUCUCUUCAUUUCAUUGUAUUAUUUCCCUAAGUAAGAAAGCAAAAGAGAGAGGAACACGGGCAGAGAAGAGAAGUGGAAGCUUAAGCUAUCCUCCAUUGGCAAGCAGAGAAGAAGAAGAAGAAAGAACCACAAGAGGUAACCUUGAAAUCCUAGGCUCAAACCUAUGAAGCUAGGCUUAAACAUAUUUACUGCCCUUUUGAUCUUAUCAUUAAGGUCACUAACGAAGCUAGAGACAAAAUAUUGUUCAGUAAAACCAGCUUGGCCAAACAUCAGUUGUGACCUUAAUUCUUCAAAUUUAUCGCAAUUCUCAUCAACUGUCCCUGUUUGUCAAAGUUAGUUGAAUUGAUCUUGAGCAUCAUUUUCUGGUUUCUAGAACCUUAAGGCAACAUCCCUCACAAAAUCCCUCCAAGGAAUGUAUCCUCUAUUAGAUUGAUAAUGUCUAAACUAUAUACUAUCUUGUCCCUCAAAAUAAAUUCCAGCAUUCAUUGUUUUUCUUGUUUCGUCGAUGGGGUCAAACUCAAAAAAAUUAUCUGCUCUUACGGCCCAUCCCUUUUGGGUCUGUUCCAUCAAACUUGGCAAAUUCCAUCUUGGGAGGAAUGGGUGUAUAAGGGUUGUGUGGUGGUGGUAGUCUAUAAGAUUUGGGUGUGGGUAUUGAUUAUAGGGGUUAUAGUUGAGGCUUUGCAUCUCUGGUGGAAAGGAAACGAAAGAUGUAUGGAAUGGUGACAAUGCUGAAAAGGAAGGGUAAUUGGUUACUGGUUAGGGGUGGAAGGUGGUUGUGGGUGUUAACGCCAAGAUCUUUCUCCACGUCCCAAUCACGAAAGACAUCCUGAUCCUGCACAGUAAACACGACAAACACCACAAGCUUGACGGCCGGACCGCCGGGGGAUAGCUCAGGCGUGAGAGUAAGUAUGUCUGUUCACAAAGUUAACUCAAGAGGAUAAUAGAAUUUAGCGUAUUGAGAAUGGUUAUUCGUCACUGGUCCUGGGAUAUCCUCCCUUCCUGAUUGGACCAUUUUAGAGCGUGUCUCUGCUGACUUUGGUGACAUCCCCGAGGGGCGUGAGAGGGAGAUGGGUGACUUCCUGAAGAGGAUCCCUCCUCAAGAGUGGAGCUUCACUCUACUGACCAAGCAAGCUUGGCUGUAUGACCAUAAAUGUGAGUCUCGGACCAUUCNNNNNNNNNNNNNNNNNNNNNNNNNNNNNNNNNNNNNNNNNNNNNNNNNNNNNNNNNNNNNNNNNNNNNNNNNNNNNNNNNNNNNNNNNNNNNNNNNNNNUCCUGCCUCCGAACCAACAACAACUCCUCUUCGGGAUGACGACCCUGAAGCUGACGAUCUCAUCAUCCCCGAAGAGGUCCUCCGACCUCGCCGAAGGAAGAAGGCUGCCAAAAAGGCCAGGACUCCUCGUGAGAUAAACCCUGAAAGCGAUGAGGAGGCCCUUCCUGAGGUAAACCCACAACCAAUUCCUCCAACCGAACCCACGACAACAACCUUUGAACCAACCCCAACAACUUCUGAACCAACCCCAAAAAAGAGGAGUCUUCUUGAUAUUCCUCCACACGAUCGGGCGAAAGUCCUUCGUGCUAAAAAAUUAAGAACCAAAAUAAUUCCCCUUACCGCCGACGAACUCCGCGUCCCUCCACCUUCAACAACCAAUCCCUCAAAUGAAACCCAAACACCUGACGCUGAGCUGGUCGAAGCCGACCCUUCUUUGUCCCGAAAAAGAAAACAGCCUUCGGACAGCCAACCCGGUUCGACCUCUGAACCUUCUUCAACUCCCGAGCCGAUACCAGCUCGAUCACCUUCUCGAGAGGCAAUACAUACGGAUCCUUCACCGGUUCGCAGUCAGCCUAUGCCUCCUCCUCAAGGACCGAUGACCUCUGAAUUCCAGCAUGAUGCCAUGGGUCCACCGACCAUGUGGCCUCGGUUCAACGCCAAUUUCCCCUUUUAACUGUUCAAGGCCUUCGUUCGCGAGACCGAUGACCAUCGGUUCGGGAACAGUUCGAAUGGGGACUUGCUCAGCGAAGGCAUGAGCUACUUGGCUAAGGUAAAUGACUCUUCUCUUCCUUUGCUUACUUAUUUUCAUACUCAUACAUCUGAAGCUGAUUGAAUAACACUGAACAUGAACAGGCAAAUGCUGUCUUCGGACGUCUGCGUCCCAGAUCUCUCCAAGCUGAAUCCGAGGAGGAAGCGCUGAAGAAGGAAAAUUCCCUCCUGAAAUCUGCCCUGGCUCGGGAAAGGACUCACCGUGAAGGCCUUCUUCAUACUAACGAAGGUCUUCAGAAAGAGUUGGCCCAAGCUAAGGGAGAAGUGAAGGCCUCCAAGGAAGAACUAAAGUCGACUAAGGCUCAGCAUGCUGAAAUUGUCAACAUGAAUGUCGACUUAGUUCAGAGGAGUGAACUGAGGAUGAAUAAGAUCAAGGAGUUGAAGUCCAACGCCAAAAUCUUGACCAAGACGAUCCGUAAGAUGGAGCAGGAUGAAAAGCUUCAACUGAAUAUACGGCAGCAGCUCGAGCAAGAAAUCCGAGAACUCAAGGCUCUUCGGGACCUUGGGCCUCCUUUGACUGAUGCUCUUCGCAAAGAAAUUUGUGAAGAGUAUAGGAACUCGGACGAAAUAAACGGAGAAAUCAUGAGGAUUCACAAAGAAAGCUACGAGCUCUGCCGAAGUCUUGGCAAGGAAAAGCUGAUCAAGGCUAACUUAGAUCCGUACCUGCUGGACUCUUCGGAUGAUGAUGGCGCUGCAUGAAGCACCAGCUUAUGGAUUGUCUUCGGUCUUAUUAUGAAUAUUUGUAAAAAAAUUUAUGUUAUUUCCUUAUUUGUAAAUGAACCAAAUAUUAAUGAAAAAUGAUUUCCUUCCUUAUGACUUCAGUGCACUUUUAUUUUAUGUCAAUACUUCAAUAUGAAUUUAUAUGGACAAGUGUACAAAAACCCCUUCGAGGAUUUAACUUCAAAUAAUUAAGCAUGUCAUAUAACAGAUGAAAUGAGUUUAAAGAACGAGGCAUUCCGAACUCAACACUUAGAAAAAACUCAGGUAAUAAAGUAAAGAGAUACUUAUCAAGUUACCGAAGUGCGAGACAUCUGCUUUAUUGGGAGUUUGUUUACCCCGAAAGGCCUAACAGAACUAUAAGAUAACAUUCGCCUACCACGAAGGGCCUGACGAAGUUUAAAGUGUCGAUCAUUGCCUACCACGAAGGGCCUGACAAUGUCUUAAAGAUGACACUUGCCUACGCCGAAGGGCCUGACAAGGUUUAAGUGGCUACAAUUGCCUACCCCAAAGGGCCUGACAAUGCCAAAUAGUGGCGACAAUUGCCUACCCCGAAGGGCUUGACAAUGCCAAAUAAUGGCGACAAUUGCCUACCCCGAAGGGCCUGACAAUGCCAAAUAGUGACCUCCUGCCAAAAAGGCUACCAUCGAAUGGUCAGCAAGUCCUCCCGAACCUCCUAACACCAAUGAACUGAGUAGCAACAAAGACAAAAUUUGCUUGAGACAAAAAGAGGAUCUUUUAUUGAUGAUGAUGUAAAUAUUUACAGACUUUUGAUGUACUGAUACUGAAUCUACUGAAAGUACUUUCUAAGCCUUGUAGCAUGCCAAGUGUUUUUAAUUACUGACCCAUCUAAUGCUUUCAAACGAUAAGUCCCUGGCUUCGGAACUUCAGUGAUUUCGUAGGGUCCUUCCCAAUUUGGCAUCAGCUUACCCAGGUUCUGAGGCGUAGAUGCUUCGACUUCUCUAAGGACAAAAUCUCCCACUUCAAAUCUGCGAAGCUUCACCCCCUUAUUAUAAUGCUUAGCCACUCUUCGUUGAUAGGCCGCCAAUUUGAUUAAGGCUAUUUCUCUGACUUCUUCCAACAAAUCAAGAUUGGCCCUCAGCCCUUCUUCAUUAUAGACCUCUUGGAAAUGACUAACUCGAAGACUUGGAGAUCCAAUUUCAACUGGGACUAAGGCAUCAGUACCAUAAGCCAGUCUGAAAGGUGAAUCCCCCGUUGUAGUCCUCGGAGUAGUUCGAUAAGCCCAUAGUACACUUAGCAACUCUUCUGGCCAUCUGCCUUUAGCUUCGUCCAACCUACGCUUGAUCCCAUUCAGCAGCGUUCUGUUGGUUACUUCAACCUGUCCGUUUGAUUGAGGAUGAGCCACUGAAGUCUUUCUGUGCUGGAUCCCCAAUUCGGUCAAAAAUGCUUCAAACUUCGAUCCCACAAACUGACGUCCAUUAUCCGAUACUACCACCUUAGGAAUUCCAAAACGGAAUACCACUGAUUCUUUCACGAAUUUCAAACACUCCUGUUCCGUUAUUGACCUAAGUGGCUUUGCUUCUACCCAUUUGGUCAUAUAGUCUAUGGCAACUAUAACAAAACUGACCUGACCUUUUGCCUUCGGUAGUGGACCCAGUAUAUCAACCCCCCAGACAGCGAAGGGUAUAGGAGAUAAGAUCGAGUAUAGCUCUUCCGGUGGCUGAUGCGGUAUUGGACUGUUAAGCUGGCACUUCUCGCACCUCUUCACAUACUCAGUUGCUUCCUUGAAGAUAGUAGGCCAGUAGUACCCCUGACGAAGUACUUUAUAGGCUAAUGACUUAGCAGCCAUAUGGUCGCCACAAAUGCCUUCAUGCACUUCUCGGAGAGCAUAAUCAGCUUCGGAUGGAGUCAAACAUUUUAAUAAUGGAGACGAGAAGGCCCUUCGAAAGAGAUCCCCAUCAAUCAAAACAAAAUUGGCACUCUUGUACUUGAUUUUCUUGGCGAGCAUCCGAUCCGAAGGUAAGACGCCAUCAGCCAAAUAUUCCAGAUAGGGCGUCAACCAGCAGUUGGUUCGGUCAAUGCACAUUACCAUCUCGUGAAGAACACUAGGAUGUUGCAAAAUUUCCAGAUACACCGACCCCUCAAAAACAUUAACAUCCGUAGUGGCUAGUUUGGCGAGUGCAUCGGCAAUAGAAUUGUUGUUACGCUCGACCCCCCGAAACUCGUACGAUUGGAAAUACUGAAGCCGUUCCUUUACUUCUGCCAAAUACUUGAUCAUCCUCGGACCUCGGGCUUCGUAUUCUCCAGACAAUUGUUUAACAAUUAACUGAGAAUCACUGAAGAUGACUAUUCUUUGCACUUCAAGACUCUUUGCUAACCGUAAACCGGCCAAUACUGCCUCAUAUUCAGCUUCGUUGUUCGUCGCUUUGAAUUGAAAUCUGAUGGCUUGCUGCACCCUGAAUCCCUCCGGACUGGUCAAGAUAAUCCCUGCUCCACUGACGUCCAAAGUAGAAGACCCAUCUGCAUACAGCGUCCAUGAACUCUCCUGCUGCUGAAGAACGGCAACUGCUCUGUCAGAUCCUUCAGCUUCGGCUAUGACUUCAUCAGCUUCAGAGAACGAACACUCAACCACAAAAUCAGCCAAGGCUUGUCCUUUGAUGGCGGUUCGGGGAUGAUACUCAAUAAAGAAUUGGGACAAUUCCAUCGUCCACGCAGCUAGCCUCCCCGAUACCUCCGGCUUACCCAUAAUCUUCUUCAGAGGCUGAUCUGUGUAUACUAUUACCAGUCUACCCUGGAAGUAUUGCCUAAGCUUUCGACUAGCAGUUAUUAAAGCGAAAGCAAACUUUUCAAUGUUUGGGUACCUUGUUUCGGCAUCCCGAAGGACAUGACUUACAUAAUAAACCGGGUGCUGCUUACCCCCAACUUCACGCACCAAGACCGCUCCAAUUGCCAAUGAACUAGCUGCUAGGUACAGAUAUAAAGGUUCGGCAGGAAUGGGCUUUACCAGCAAAGGCGCCGAAGAUAAGUAGGACUUGAUGCUUUAAAAGGCGUCUUCACACUCAGAAGUCCAUUGGAACGUUUUUGCAUUCUUCGGCCCUUUCAAUGUGUUAAAAAACGGCAAACACCUUUCAGCAGACUUGGACAUGAACCUCCGCAAAGCUGCAAUCCUUCCAGUAAGACGCUGAACAUCUUUAAAUGACUGAGGAGUCUUCAUGUUCAGGAUCACUUGAAUCUUCUCUGGAUUGGCUUCAAUUCCUCUUCGACUGACAAGAUACCCCAAGAAUUUGCCAGCACCCAGACCAAAAGUGCAUUUAGUGGGAUUCAGCCUCAAGUUAUGAUGUUGAAUGGUCUGAAAGCAUUCUUCUAAGUCAUCCAAAUGUUUGUGCACCAACAUGCUUUUGACAAUCAUGUCAUCCACAUACACCUCAAUAUUCCCACCCAACUGAUAUCUGAAGAUAUGGUUCAUCAUUCUCUGGUAUGUGGCCCCAACAUUGAUAAGGCCGAAAGUCAUUUUCUUAUAGGCAUAUACCGAACGAUGCGUAAUGAACGUCGUCUUCGGUAUAUCCUUUUUACACAUAGAGAUCUGAUGAUAUCCAGAGAAUGCAUCCAUAAAACUUAAUAAAGCAUACCCCGAAGUGGCAUCAAUGAGUUGAUCGAUGUGGGGCAGCGGAUAGAAAUCCUUCGGACAGGCCUUGUUCAGGUCAGUGUAAUCAAUGCAGACUCGCCAUUUGUCAUUCCGCUUCUGGACCAGCACCACAUUAGCCAUCCACUGCGGGUAGUCUAUCUCGAAGAUGAAAUCAGCUGCCAAAAGUUUUGCAAUUUCAUCAUCUAUGAUUCGUUGACGCUCUAGUGCAAAGAUCCUCCUCUUCUGCCGAACCGGCUUCUUUGACGGGUCUACUUCCAGUCGAUGCUCAGCAAUAUCCCUGCUUACUCCCGGCAUAUCCUGAGGUUCCCAUGCAAAGAUAUCAACAUAACACCUCAGGAGCUCUACGAGGUUCGUCCGGAGAGGUUCCGGCAAGCCUGAACCUAUUUUCACCGUCUUGUCCUCCUUGCCUGGGAUGAGCUCUAUCUCUUCUGUCUCUUUAGCUGGCAUGACCGAUGGUUUAGAGCUACUUUCAGUGAAGGGUUCGAUCUCUAUGAGCCGUAGGAAAUUUGAUUUUAAAAUGAGGAAUUGAUGUUACAGCUUGUAGAGCAAUUAAAGUAGGCCUCCCCAAAAUAGCAUUAUAAGCAGAAUCUACAUGUACAACAUAAAAUUUGCAAAUAAUUUGUACCUGCUGAGGGGCCGUCCCGAAUAUGACUGGAAGCUCAAUGGUUCCAGCCACUUUAACCGGAUCAUUGCUGAAACCAUAAAGAGGAGCUUCCUGUCCAAUUUCCAUCUUUCGCCCAUCCAAAUUCAUCCUUUGAUAAGCGUGGGCAUACAAGAUGUCUACAGACGAUCCGUUAUCUACCAUCAUCCUUUUCAUAUCUACCGAACCCACUUGUGCAGUAAGCACCAAUGAUCCCUCAUGAGGUUCGAUAAUUUCCGAAGGGUAAUCUUCAUCAGUGAAAGAGAUUACCGUAUUCGGAUAAGGUCUAUCAGUCUUCGGGAAGGUACCCGCCACCGACAUGACCGAAUCCAAAUAGCUUCGGCGCUUCUUUCCAACGAGCUUGCCAGAAGUACCCCCAGUGAUGACAUCUAUCACAUGCCUUGCAGGCUGAUCCGGAGCUGGCAACGCUGGCUGAUUAGGUUGAGCUGCCGGGACAGGUACUCGGUCCUGCUGCUGAUUAGUUCGGGCAGCCACAUAUUGAACUAAAGCUCCACCUUGUACCUUUCUCUCAAUGAACUCUUUUAAACUGGCACAAUCGUUCGUCUCAUGUCCCGACGCUUGAUGGUAGUCGCAAUACUUGCGGGGAUUUCCCUUUCCGGGCUUGAUGUUAUCUCGUGGUGGCUCGAAAAUAGGUUGAUUUUUGAUCUGAUCUAAGAUAACAGCCCUAUCGGCGUUGAGCGCCGUGAAAGUCCUGUUUACUCUCUGGGGUGGAGCGGACGAACGUCCUCCACCCUGCCUCCAAUUGUUAUACCUUUUCGACCCGCCUUCAUGACGGUCUUUGUGUCCUUCACUCUUCUUCUGGUCUUCAUCAG
rnacentral:lncRNA from 1 species